CGCGUAGGCGGAUUAUCAAGUCUCUUGUGAAAUCUAAUGGCUUAACCAUUAAACUGCUUGGGAAACUGAUAGUCUAGAGUGAGGGAGAGGCAGAUGGAAUUGGUGGUGUAGGGGUAAAAUCCGUAGAUAUCACCAAGAAUACCCAUUGCGAAGGCGAUCUGCUGGAACUCAACUGACGCUAAGGCGCGAAAGCGUGGGGAGCAAACAGGAUUAGAUACCCUGGUAGUCCACGCCCUAAACGAUGUACACUAGUUGUUGGGAUGCUAGUCAUCUCAGUAAUGCAGCUAACGCAUUAAGUGUACCGCCUGGGGAGUACGGUCGCAAGAUUAAAACUCAAAGGAAUAGACGGGGACCCGCACAAGCGGUGGAGCAUGUGGUUUAAUUCGAAGAUACGCGAAGAACCUUACCUGGGCUUGAUAUCCUAAGAACCUUUUAGAGAUAAGAGGGUGCUAGCUUGCUAGAACUUAGAGACAGGUGCUGCACGGCUGUCGUCAGCUCGUGUCGUGAGAUGUUGGGUUAAGUCCCGCAACGAGCGCAACCCACGUAUUUAGUUGCUAACGGUUCGGCCGAGCACUCUAAAUAGACUGCCUUCGUAAGGAGGAGGAAGGUGUGGACGACGUCAAGUCAUCAUGGCCCUUAUGCCCAGGGCGACACACGUGCUACAAUGGCAUAUACAAUGAGACGCAAUACCGCGAGGUGGAGCAAAUCUAUAAAAUAUGUCCCAGUUCGGAUUGUUCUCUGCAACUCGAGGAGCC
rnacentral:rRNA from 1 species